rnacentral:misc_RNA from 1 species
UUUGAGAGUCGACGGAGACGUGGCAAGCCAUUUCGGCUACUGUAUAGGGAAAGGUAAACUUAAUAUUUUAGGCUUUAAGAACAAGGACGUUCUUAGUCCAUGCUACUAAAUCAUCUCCUUGGAAAGCUUCCGGCCUCCUUCAAACAGGUUUAACGACUUCCUUUGCUUGGAAACAACUGAGUCUCAAACGCGGGGAUAAAAACACCCAUUUUCAAGAAAAACAGGAUUUCAACAAUAAACAGUUGUACAGUAACAAGCAAAGAUGAUGUGCAAUACUCUGCUGAAUUUAGCAGUGUGGACGGUGUUGGUGGUGUUGGCCGCGGGCUGCGAUGAACGGUGCACGUCGGCGUUCCAGCAACGUCUAGCAGAAGCAGCACAGGGCGGCAAUGCUUCAUCCUCCCUACAGAGGAGCUGCGAGGCCAUCAAACUACACCUCCAGUGCCUGGGUGAGAUCCGGCCCAACUGUAACACCAACCAAAUACAGAUGGUCAACAACACCAUCAUCUCCAUGCAGGCCAACUACGACAGGUCCUGCACCGAGGGAAGUGCCACGGCGGACGUUGCUAACUGUGGAACACGCUACAUGGUCUGCAACGAGAAGUUCAACACCACCUUCUUCCCCGCCCUCAAUGCGUAUGAUCUAACAGCAGCAUGCGGCUCCCUGAACAACUACACGGAGUGUGUGGAGUCGCUCCUGACGUCCCCCGACUGCUCUCAGUAUGCGGGCUACGCCGUCAACACCAUCAACGGCAUCAGGUCCCGCUACUCUUCCACUUGCGAGGGAGACACCGCAGCAACUGGAGCCAACAUGGCACGUUGUCUUAAUGGAACCAUGGAGUGCUUCACAACCUUUAACAGGACGUUCUUCCCAUCUGUCCGGAAGUCAGACAUGAGGCUCAUGUGCAGUUCUGUGUCCAACUACUCCAAGUGCAUCAACGCCCUGGCUGCUGACCCGUCUUGCCAUCAGUACACAGCUCAGGCUGUCUCAAGCAUACAGGUGCUCGAACAACAACACAAGGUGGCGUGCGGAGAAGAUGGCGGGACGAAAGCCACUGAGUGUUUGAGAAGCUUCAGGGAAUGUUAUCAACACUUCAAUGAAACCUUCAACCCAGCUGUCAAGACCAUGAACAUUGAGAAACUCUGCCAGUCAAUGGACGAAUACAAGGUGUGUUCAGUUGGAAUCCCCGACGAAUGUGACACGUACCUGGGCCAGUCCGUUGACGGUCUGGACAGGAUGCAGGCUCAGUACUCGCAGUACUGCACCCCAGAGAACAAGAAGAUAUUUGGCUGCGCCCCCCUGUCCUUGUGUAACCGCAACCUCAUCGGCAACCUCACCGUCAGCGGCGCUGAAUCAGGCAUGCUCUGCAUGGUACUGGAGACGUACUUCCCCUGUGUGGACGAGGCAGUCAAGCAAUGCCACCUGUCUGGGGACGGGAUCUCGGCCAUCUCCUUCCGUGACCUUGGCCUCCUCUCGUCCAGAUACUGCCGGUCAGUGUUGGCGAACCCCGCCAUCAAGAGCUGCAUGAACUUCAUGCAGUGUCACGCCGCCCUGGACCUCACUAACAUGAGUCCAGGCAUGAUGGUGGAAGGAACCUACUGGUGCCACUACAUGGAGUCGUCGCUCAUGUGCAGCUCUCGGCUCAUCAACGCCGGCCAGUGUAACGUCCAGAACAGGAACGACAUGAUCAACAACAUCCAACGUCUACGUCAGAUGCAACAGGCGACGUGUACAAUAACUACACCCGCACCGACAACGCCAACGACUACCGUUACUACAACAACUGUAGAGCUGAAGGAAGAUAUAAAGAAGACCGAUGAGGACAAGAAGAAAGACACAGACCCAGGGAGUGGAGGUUCCACAUUGACCUUGAGCUUUGUGACCUUGGCCCUCACCUUUGCGGCGACGACAUUCCAGCGUCAUUCUUGAAACGAUUAACUCUUCAAUGAAGUGAACUUGGAGGACGAACAAAACAAACUGCCACCCAGUAACGCCAGUCUUUACUUCAUUUGAUAUACGUAUGCUGUUUGUAUCUGCUGGAAAUUUGUAAAGAAUUACUUGAUACUUAAUUAAAGAUCAUCAGUCAGAACUCGCUAUCGUUAAUAAGUUAAGGAGUCAAUAGAAGUCACUUGAAACUGCACCGAAACAUCUUCAAAUCUAUAAUUUGGUUUGUAGCAUUAUUUUCAAAAUCUUCUGCAAAUAUUCAUAUUUACGUUGCAUUUUGUGUAAUAUUUCCCAGCUUGUUUUAAAGAAGUAACUGGAUUCUCAUAUAUGCAUCUAACUGUACUUGGGGUGUAUUCACGAAGCAGUUGGAGUUUGAUGAGCUCACGAUGACUAAAACAAGCAAUGUUCUGUCCAAAUGACGACUUGCGGGUUGCAAGUGAUUUUGGAAAAUAAUUAACACUUUAUUCAGUUAACUUACGCACCGUGAAAAAAAUUGAAACACUGUUGAAAGUAGCGUUAGACCCUACUCACGAACUCAAACAAACCCUUCGCAGUGCCGACAGGUGGCUCUCGUGCCUCGAUGACGGCACCUAUCGUUGCCAGAGCCGAGAGCCCUGCGUAAGCUUCGUCUAUAGACUCUUUGCAACCGUUUCACGAAGCAAUCUUAGCGUUAUGACUGUCAAAAACCAUUCUACAUAGAUCUACGGCAGUCAUUCCACUAGGAUUGCUUUGUGAAACCAGACCUUUGCAUUUAUGAAUGACGUGUUUGUAAAUAAAGUACAUUUUAUGUGUAUGUUUUAUGUGUAAUUGACACUUUGAAGUGAAGUGGAAAUGACACUGGGACAACAACUUACAACUUGUGCAUGUUACUGCUACUGUAACCUGCUACUAUAUACUAUAUAUGUGUUGUAUAUGUACAUUAUAGAUUUGUCUGCCAGUGUAGAUACGUAUGUAUAAACAAGUAACCUGCCACAAUCUACUUAAACAGUAUAAACACGAUAAAGAAAGCUAGAUCAUAGUAUUAUUCCUGUACAGUCAAACUCCGUUCUGUCGACGUUGAAGAGACCCACGGAAAUAAUUCGAGUUAUCGAUACAACCGAAUAACACAUAAAGAGUACGAAGGGACCAAUCAAUUACAAGGAAUCAACCGUAAGUUCGACAUAUCAAACGUUCGUCACAACUAUGUUUGACUGUACGUUUAUGUAGUCGUGUAUGUACUUUGUCAGAUUAAUUUAUUUUUGUGAAAAUUUAAGUAUUGUACAAAUUUAGUCUUGCUUUAAGAAGUAAAGGAUUUGGUGUUCAAAAUAAACGUUUAACUUGAUUAAAGAGGUAAUCUUUACUUCUGAAAAAUUCACUUUAUAUUUAUGGAUGUAUUUUUUGGUUGCUCUCAUUGAAAGGUAUUGUACAUACGUUUAUCGUCUUGUUAUCAUGUUAGUCAUAUAGCAGCGUAAAUUUGGGGAGAGUAUUGUUCAUCGCCAUGUAUAUAUUGGAAGUUGGAAUCUAGCAAAUUAAAAUAAUAGUGCUAACAAAAUCUGCAGUAUUUUGUGAAAAUGACUUUUUCAUUCGAACAUAAUUUGUUUCCACGACAACAAGCGUUUUCUUAAUGUUUGCUAAACUGACUUUUACUGUAAGAUUAUGUCAUUGCAUACGUAUGAAUAUUUUGGGAAAACAGCCAUGUAAAUUGUGGCGGAAUUUGAUGCCAUUUCAAAACAUAUUGUCUUAGUAUUUGACAGUAAUUUAGCUCUUAAAUUGUACACUUUGCUUACGUCUACUGAAAUGUGUUGGGAAAACUUAGAUUGUCUUAGUAAUUGAUAAACCAAGAUUUGCUCAACAAUUGUGUGUUAGUGCAUCUACAUUUGGAUUAUUUUGAAUGAAACGACAUUUCGAUUAGAAUAGAUUUGGUUACGAUGACAACAUAAAAUUUCUAAAUGUUUGAUAACCACAUUUUGCUCUAUAAUUGUAUGUCAUUUUACACUUCCUCUGGAAUGUGUUGAGGUAACGACAGUUGAAAUGUGUUGAGGUAACGACAGUUGAAAUGUGUUGAGGUAACGACAGUUGAAAUGUGUUGAGGUAACGACAGUUGAAAUGGAACAGAAUUGUUUACCAUGAUAACAUAUACUGUCUUAGAAUUUGACAAAAGAACUUUUUCUCUGUCAUUGUCUUGUCAUAUUCUCCAUCCUGCGGACUUUAGUUUUGGGAAACGACAUUUUAUUGUGAAUAUGUUACUAUGACAACAGAUGUUUUCAGAUUAUUUGAUAAAUCAAAUUUUGGUC